rnacentral:misc_RNA from 1 species
GCAAACUUGGUCAUUUAGAGGAAGUAAAAGUCGUAACAAGGUUUCCGUAGGUGAACCUGCGGAAGGAUCAUUAUCGAAAUCAUCGAAGGCGUAGGGGGGGGGCGACCCUUUGAAGCUUUUGAGCAUCUCGACACCCGUGUGCACCCGCUUGUAGGUCCUUCGGGACCUAUGUCUCAUCUCUCGAACUCGCAUGUCUACAGAAUGUAUCCGUCGCUUCGGCGACAGCAGACCUCGUACAACUUUCAGCAAUGGAUCUCUUGGCUCUCGCAUCGAUGAAGAACGCAGC